UACGAAGGUGGCAAGCGUUAUUCGAAAUCACUGGGCUUAAAGGGCGCGUAGGCGGAUAUGUAAGUGUCAGGUGAAAUCCCUCGGCUUAACCGAGGAAUUGCCUGACAAACUACAUAUCUUGAGUCAAGUAGGGGUGUGUGGAACUCUUGGUGGAGCGGUGGAAUGCGUAGAUAUCAAGAGGAACGCCGAAGGUGAAGACAGCACACUGGACUUGUACUGACGCUGAGGCGCGAAAGCGUGGGGAGCGAACAGG
rnacentral:rRNA from 1 species